rnacentral:rRNA from 1 species
AACGAACGCUGGCGGCAGGCUUAACACAUGCAAGUCGAACGCACCUUCGGGUGAGUGGCAGACGGGUGAGUAACGCGUGGGAAACCUUCCCUGUGGUACGGAAUAGCUCCGGGAAACUGGAAUUAAUACCGUAUACGCCCUUUUGGGGAAAGAUUUAUCGCCAUAGGAUGGGCCCGCGUCGGAUUAGCUUGUUGGUAGGGUAAUGGCCUACCAAGGCAACGAUCCGUAGCUGGUCUUAGAGGAUGAUCAGCCACACUGGGACUGAGACACGGCCCAGACUCCUACGGGAGGCAGCAGUGGGGAAUAUUGGACAAUGGGCGAAAGCCUGAUCCAGCCAUGCCGCGUGAGCGACGAAGGCCUUAGGGUUGUAAAACUCUUUUGGCGGGGACGAUAAUGACGGUACCCGCAGAAUAAGCCCCGGCUAACUUCGUG